GGGUUGUGAGGUUAAGCGACUAAGCGUACACGGUGGAUGCCCUGGCAGUCAGAGGCGAUGAAGGACGUGCUAAUCUGCGAAAAGCGCCGGCGAGGUGAUAUGAACCUUUGACCCGGCGAUGUCCGAAUGGGGAAACCCAGUGUGAUUCGUCACACUAUCGUUAACUGAAUACAUAGGUUAACGAGGCGAACCGGGGGAACUGAAACAUCUAAGUACCCCGAGGAAAAGAAAUCAACCGAGAUUCCCCCAGUAGCGGCGAGCGAACGGGGAGCAGCCCAGAGUCUGAAUCAGCUUGUGUGUUAGUGGAAGCGUCUGGAAAGUCGCACGGUACAGGGUGACAGUCCCGUACACGAAAGCACACAGGCUGUGAACUCGAAGAGUAGGGCGGGACACGUGGUAUCCUGUCUGAAUAUGGGGGACCAUCCUCCAAGGCUAAAUACUCCUGACUGACCGAUAGUGAACCAGUACCGUGAGGAAAGGCGAAAAGAACCCCGGCGAGGGAGUGAAAAAGAACCUGAAACCGUGUACGUACAAGCAGUGGGAGCCUCUUUUAUGGGGUGACUGCGUACCUUUUGUAUAAUGGGUCAGCGACUUAUAUUCUGUAGCAAGGUUAACCGUAUAGGGGAGCCGAAGGGAAACCGAGUCUUAACUGGGCGUUAAGUUGCAGGGUAUAGACCCGAAACCCGGUGAUCUAGCCAUGGGCAGGUUGAAGGUUGGGUAACACUAACUGGAGGACCGAACCGACUAAUGUUGAAAAAUUAGCGGAUGACUUGUGGCUGGGGGUGAAAGGCCAAUCAAACCGGGAGAUAGCUGGUUCUCCCCGAAAGCUAUUUAGGUAGCGCCUCGUGAACUCAUCUUCGGGGGUAGAGCACUGUUUCGGCUAGGGGCCAUCCCGGCUUACCAACCCGAUGCAAACUACGAAUACCGAAGAAUGUUAUCACGGGAGACACACGGCGGGUGCUAACGUCCGUCGUGAAGAGGGAAACAACCCAGACCGCCAGCUAAGGUCCCAAAGUCAUGGUUAAGUGGGAAACGAUGUGGGAAGGCACAGACAGCCAGGAUGUUGGCUUAGAAGCAGCCAUCAUUUAAAGAAAGCGUAAUAGCUCACUGGUCGAGUCGGCCUGCGCGGAAGAUGUAACGGGGCUAAACCAUGCACCGAAGCUGCGGCAGCGACACUAUGUGUUGUUGGGUAGGGGAGCGUUCUGUAAGCCGUUGAAGGUGUCCUGUGAGGGGUGCUGGAGGUAUCAGAAGUGCGAAUGCUGACAUAAGUAACGAUAAAGCGGGUGAAAAGCCCGCUCGCCGGAAGACCAAGGGUUCUGUCCAACGUUAAUCGGGGCAGGGUGAGUCGACCCCUAAGGCGAGGCCGAAAGGCGUAGUCGAUGGGAAACAGGUUAAUAUUCCUGUACUUGGUGUUACUGCGAAGGGGGACGGAGAAGGCUAUGUUAGCCGGGCGACGGUUGUCCCGGUUUAAGCAUGUAGGCGGAGGUUCCAGGUAAAUCCGGUUCCUUAUUAACGCUGAGGUGUGAUGACGAGGCACUACGGUGCUGAAGUAACAAAUGCCCUGCUUCCAGGAAAAGCCUCUAAGCAUCAGGUAACAUCAAAUCGUACCCCAAACCGACACAGGUGGUCAGGUAGAGAAUACCAAGGCGCUUGAGAGAACUCGGGUGAAGGAACUAGGCAAAAUGGUGCCGUAACUUCGGGAGAAGGCACGCUGAUAUGUAGGUGAAGCCCCUGCGGGUGGAGCUGAAAUCAGUCGAAGAUACCAGCUGGCUGCAACUGUUUAUUAAAAACACAGCACUGUGCAAACACGAAAGUGGACGUAUACGGUGUGACGCCUGCCCGGUGCCGGAAGGUUAAUUGAUGGGGUUAGCGGUAACGCGAAGCUCUUGAUCGAAGCCCCGGUAAACGGCGGCCGUAACUAUAACGGUCCUAAGGUAGCGAAAUUCCUUGUCGGGUAAGUUCCGACCUGCACGAAUGGCGUAAUGAUGGCCAGGCUGUCUCCACCCGAGACUCAGUGAAAUUGAACUCGCUGUGAAGAUGCAGUGUACCCGCGGCAAGACGGAAAGACCCCGUGAACCUUUACUAUAGCUUGACACUGAACACUGGUCCUUGAUGUGUAGGAUAGGUGGGAGGCUUUGAAGCGUGGACGCCAGUCUGCGUGGAGCCAACCUUGAAAUACCACCCUUUAAUGGCUGGUGUUCUAACGUAGACCCGUGAUCCGGGUUGCGGACAGUGUCUGGUGGGUAGUUUGACUGGGCGGUCUCCUCCCAAAGAGUAACGGAGGAGCACGAAGGUUAGCUAAUCCUGGUCGGACAUCAGGAGGUUAGUGCAAUGGCAUAAGCUAGCUUGACUGCGAGAGUGACGGCUCGAGCAGGUGCGAAAGCAGGUCAUAGUGAUCCGGUGGUUCUGAAUGGAAGGGCCAUCGCUCAACGGAUAAAAGGUACUCCGGGGAUAACAGGCUGAUACCGCCCAAGAGUUCAUAUCGACGGCGGUGUUUGGCACCUCGAUGUCGGCUCAUCACAUCCUGGGGCUGAAGUAGGUCCCAAGGGUAUGGCUGUUCGCCAUUUAAAGUGGUACGCGAGCUGGGUUUAGAACGUCGUGAGACAGUUCGGUCCCUAUCUGCCGUGGGCGCUGGAGAAUUGAGGGGGGCUGCUCCUAGUACGAGAGGACCGGAGUGGACGCAUCACUGGUGUUCGGGUUGUCAUGCCAAUGGCACUGCCCGGUAGCUAAAUGCGGAAGAGAUAAGUGCUGAAAGCAUCUAAGCACGAAACUUGCCCCGAGAUGAGUUCUCCCUGAGACUUUAAGUCUCCUGAAGGAACGUUGAAGACUACGACGUUGAUAGGUCGGGUGUGUAAGCGCAGCGAUGCGUUGAGCUAACCGAUACUAAUGAACCGUGAGGCUUAACCUUACAACGCCGAAG
rnacentral:rRNA from 1 species